CACAGAUCACAAGGACCAAGAGAGCCCAGCAUCCAAACACAUACUGCUGAAUUUCACACAAAGAUUUGGAGUGAACGUAAGUGAAGGCAAAGAAAAGAGAAUACAGAAGAAAGUGAUUAAACAAAGCAUGAGGACAUGUUUUCUUCUGGAAGUUUAGAAAGGUGGCAUUUUAACUCCAGAAAAUCAGGUUGGAUGCACACUAAAGACUCAAGUGCACACCAAAUGCACAAAAUUUUUAAAAAAGCACUGAAGAAAGAAGCACCCUUAAAAUCACCUGUAUUUGCAUCUUAUUUGUCUGAAACUUGCCUUUGACUUCCAACACACCUGCCAG